rnacentral:rRNA from 1 species
CUGGGAUAAGCCUGGGAAACUGGGUCUAAUACCGGAUAGGACCAUGCUUUAGUGUGUGUGGUGGAAAGUUUUUUCGGUGUAGGAUGAGCCCGCGGCCUAUCAGCUUGUUGGUGGGGUAAUGGCCUACCAAGGCGGCGACGGGUAGCCGGACUGAGAGGUUGGUCGGCCACAUUGGGACUGAGAUACGGCCCAG